rnacentral:rRNA from 1 species
UACAGAGGUCUCAAGCGUUGUUCGGAUUCAUUGGGCGUAAAGGGUGCGUAGGUGGCGGGGUAAGUCAGGUGUGAAAUCUCGGAGCUCAACUCCCGAAACUGCACUUGAUACUGCCUUGCUCGAGUACUGGAGAGGAGAUUGGAAUUUACGGUGUAGCAGUGAAAUGCGUAGAUAUCGUAAGGAAGACCAGUGGCGGAAGGCCGAAUCUCUGGACAGUUACUGACAACUGAGGCACGGAAGGC